GGCUCCUAGGAAUAAAGAAAAGGGAGGUUUUAAAUUUUUUUUUUUUUUUUUUUUUUAAUUUCCUCAGUCUGCCCAGUAAAAGCUGUUCAACAAUAUUCUGUUAUUUCCCCCCCACAUACCUUGGUGUGGAGCCUGGUCAAACGAGUGUCCUUGGCAGAGCUUUCCUGUGGAAUAUCCUCUGAGCAUCCCCUCACAAAUAUUUCAGUAGUGGAGAAACUUUUCUACACCCUCUUAGCUGAGAGGGUAAAUUGUGCUCUGGAUCACUGCUCCCUGUUCAGCCCUAUGUUUUAAAAAAUACUGCAAGGAAAUGCACACGCAUACUGAUUUGGUUUUGUAUCAGUCACAUGUAUCUGUGAAAAAGGAAUGUGUGUUCAUGCAUGAUGUAUCUUUCUAUUAUCUUUCUGGAUGUUGAUUAAUCUUAAAUGAACUUACCUGUGAUGAAAAAUUGUUGAAUGCUUUGCAAUUUAAUUUUGCUUUCCUACAAAACAUCAGUAUAACCUGUUAAAGUAGUGAGAAAAUGCAAUUGAAACAUUCUACCCAUGUCAUAUUUCUUCAUUUGGCUAAAUGGUAACUUGCUUGCUCAUUUCAGAUAAUUAUUUUAUAGCCUAAUCUUCUGUGAUAAAACUGAUAAACUCUCAGGUAUCUAAUGCCACAUGAAAAUAGUUUCAUAUCAAAUCCUGAUUCAAUGAUAUAAAUGCUGGUCAGUAAUGUCACUAUGAUCCCCAAAGCAAACUGUGGGAACUAUUUUGUAAACUCCCAGUUAAAACUUGUAAUGAAAGCGUCACGUUAAGAGUAAACCCAUUCUAAUUUUGCAUUAAAUGUGGCAGAAAAUCACCCCCCUGGCAUUCCAGCUGCUCCUCAGGUAUCAGAGGGGCUGGCAGAGCUGGGUUUGGCUUCUGAGCCGGGGCCAAUUCAGCAGCAGACGUGCAGAGCUGGUGUGGCACUGGAAGGAGAUGAUCUUUAGAGCUCCUUCCAACCCAGCCCACACCGUGGUUCUGUGCUGGUGGUGAGUACCCUGUGUGCAGAAGGGUGUGUGAGCCCAUGAAAUAUGAACCAUACAUGUGGGGGGACAGAAAAUAAGAAAAUAAAGAUAGUGCAGAGAGUAAUCUCACCCCCAAGGAGUUGCAGCUGGGCCAGUUACCAAAGAUUAGGAGCAGGCCUGACUUUAACAGGCCACAGCUGUGACCAGUGAGAAGAAGAGUGCUAUAAAAGAGUGGGCUGGCUGGUUGAGAGGAACUGGAGUCAGUUGGCUGCUUGGUGAGGAAGAGAGAGUCAGUGCUCUGAGGAGCUGCCCACGAGAAGAUUCCCAAGAAGCUGACUGUGUGUGACAUUCCCAGCUCCUGAGCAGCAGAAUGGAGCAGAACUGACAUGAGGGGCUUUUUGGUGUCAUUGUAACAGUGACUGUCAUUGCAACUGACCUGAACACAGCUUUAUAUCCCGGAUACAGGAGAUUUUCUCUCCAGCAUGCAGAGUGAGAUACAAACACAGUGUCUGAGAGAAGCAGAGUCACAGAACACCCUGGGUGGGAAGAGACCCACAAGGACCAUCGAGCUGGACUCCUGUCCCUGCACAGGACACCCCAAUAAUCCCAGCAUGUGUCUGAAACAUUGCCCAAAAGCUUCUGGAACUGUGGCAGGCGUGGGACCAUUGCCUGACCGCUGUCUGGGUGAGGAACCUUUUCCUAAUGUCCACCACAAACUCCACUGACACUGCUUCCUGCUGCUCCUUUUACACUGUUUUCUUGAGGUGUCACCCCAAACACCCCCAGACCCCUCUCAGGGCCCUUCAAAACCUCUUUAGUGUCACUAAAGCCCCUCCAAGUACACCACAAACCAUCCCAGCUCCCCCAACACCGCUCAAGCCUCCUCAGCACCCCAAAUCCAUUUCAGCUCUCCCCGACCCCUCCCUAAAGCAUGCCCUGAAGCCCCAAAUCCCUUUGAGCACCCUCUAAAACCUCUGCAGCCUCACUAAAACGCCUCCCAUUGUACCACAACUGUCCCGUGAUCCCAAACCUCCCUCAGACCUCAGCCUGAAACCCUUUUUAGUUGUGCUUUAGCAUCCACGAAUGCUUCCCAGCACCCUGAAAAACCCCAUUCGCACCCCUAAAACCCCGCUAGCACCACACACCCCUUCCAGCACCCUCUAAAAUCUCUUCUCCAAACCAAAAUUCCUUGUUUCCCCCUCCCAAACCAGCCCAGCACGCCCGCGGAGCGCGGCGCAGCCCCGCGCCGUGACUCGGCGGCCACGCGGGAGCAUCAAAGCUCCAGAGAGGAGAAGCACGCCGAUAAACUCCGGCAGCGAUUGUGCGUGUAAAGCUCUAUUUUCAUAUAAAACAUGAGAAAGCCCUGCGUGCUCAGCACGGACAA